AACACUCUUCCACACACCUGUAGCAUGGCCAAGGACCAGGGUCCCGGACCUCUGCUCAAAGGCCCAUGGUCUCACGGAAUCUCUUCGUGCCAUGGGCUCCUCCCUCCCUCUCCCCUUUUCCGUUCCUUAGGGGCACUGAUGUCCUCUCCUGGUUUUCCAGGAGACAUGGCUGAAUCCCAUCCAAGAGCCAUUUGUCCUCGCCAACAAAGCUGGUGGUGAGAUUGUCUUCCAGACCAUUCCAGCUUCUGUCUGUCCUACAACCCCCUUGCCUCUCCCCUUCUCUCUGAAGCCAAGACAAGCAAGCAUAGAACUGACCCUUUGCUAGAAUGGGAGACAGGAAAGGGAAUACAUAGGGAGAAACCCAGAUGUUCAAAUUAGAAAAAAAUGGUCCUACUUUCUAUAUGUCACUUCCAGAAUUCUUGGCCCACAUGGCCAAGGUUGCCAAGCAUGGAGAUCCAUGCAAGACCAGAGCCAGGAGACAUGGGCAGUGCUGGCACGUAGUACGUGCUCAACAAACGUCUGAUGGGUGAGAGAGUGAAUGGAGCUUCUUUUGCGAAGUCAGACUCCAUGCCCUGAAGAGGAAACUCACCCAGUGCGUGAGCAACGCAAGGGAGAUUGGGUUCUGCCAUGUCCCCCGGUCGCCUUCUUCGUGUCAAGGAGUCAUUGUUGUUCAAUGCGCUGUGGCUUGGUACAAGUUGAAGAUCUGCUCAGUCAUGCCAAAGGGGCUUUUUCCUCCUUUAACGUAGGGACCGCAGAAGGUUCUUUCUGGACACUGAAAACAUGUCUCACCCGUUCCCCACCCCAUUUCUCAAAAAGCCUCAGCGCUGGAUUGAAAAGCACGUAUUGCAACAGGAUGAUUGAGGGAAGGUAAUUAUGUAUUAUUAAAUGCAAAAAAAAAAAAAAAAAAGAGAGAGAGAAAAAUUGUUCUUCGCAACACCCCUAUGGCUUGGCAGAAGUGAAAAUAGCAAAAUGCUAAAAUGGUUUUCCUGCCAGUGGGAUGAAUGGAUGCCUGCCCCCUUGAUUUGGGGUCAUUGGCUGCAGGGACUGCCCUCAGCACCAGUGGAGACCCUGAGGAGUGGGGACGGAUGGCUCCAGCCUGGGGGUCUUUGUGGGGACGUGGGCCACAGAAAGGGAGGGGGCAUAGAAGCCCGGAGGAGAUGUUUUCUUGUUCCCUUGGCUCGGAAGGUGGGUGGUCUCUGUGUCUUUGGAUGAGGCCUUUCUGGGUAGGAUGAGGGUGAUAAUACCCAAACAUCAAAAUCAUAUCCCACGUGGCCC
rnacentral:lncRNA from 1 species